CCUGAGAAACCCAAAAGAUCGAAUGGGGAGAUUCAUCGUCAGCCGCUUUGGCUUCCGUGUGGUUCGCGAUGAUCGGGGCCUCGGCUCUGUGUCACGCAAUCGCUGCGGUCAUGUCCGAAGUGGUCGGCGUGCACUUCUCCCCUAGUAGGACGUCGCGAUUCGUUGGGUGUCGGUUUACGGACCGGUAGGUCGUCUGGCGAGUCUCGUUCACGCGUGUACUUGUCAGACCUCUGGUUUCCCAACCGGCUGCCCGGCGAUAUAAAACGAUAAUUAAUGGUAUUGAGUCGCAUUCGUGCGUUCAGGCUCGUCGGCAGGUACGCCUCGCUCGGAUUUACGGACCUAGCGCCGUUGCCGGGUGCUUGGCGGACCGUUCGCCGACGGUGUCCUCGGACUGGCUCUAAAUAUUCGAACGAAUAUACCGAUCGGCGACGCUACUGCUUUGGGUACUUUCAGGACCCGUCUUGAAACACGGACCAAGGAGUCUAACAUGUGCGCGAGUCAUUGAGUCAAUUAAAGCUUAAAGGCGUAAUGAAAGUAAAGGUCGUCCUUACCGUCGACCGAGGGAGGAUGGCUGACGUUACGAUGUUAGCUCGCACUCCCGGGGCAUCUCGUGUUCAUUGCGAACAGAGGUGCACCCAG
rnacentral:rRNA from 1 species